AGAGAGAGACAUGCGCGCAUAUCAAUAAGCGGAGGAAAAGAAACUAACAAGGAUUCCCUUAGUAACGGCGAGUGAAGCGGGAAGAGCUCAAAUUUGAAAUCUUCAAGGUUUUACCUUGACGAAUUGUAGUUUAAAGAAGUGUUUUCUGCUGAAGUUUUGGUAAAAGUUCUUUGGAAUAGGACAUCAUAGAGGGUGAGAAUCCCGUAUUUGACCAUUAUUUUCAGCUUUGUGAUACACUUUCAAAGAGUCGGAUUGUUUGGGAAUGCAGUCCAAAAUGGGUGGUAAAUUUCAUCUAAAGCUAAAUAUUGGCGAGAGACCGAUAGCGAACAAGUACCGUGAGGGAAAGAUGAAAAGAACUUUGAAAAGAGAGUUAAACAGUACGUGAAAUUGUCAAAAGGGAAGCGUUUGACACCAGUGUUGUUUUCUCGAAAAUCAAUUAAAAAUGGCUCGAUUUUGUAUUGUUGAGACCUUAAAAGCUCACUGUACAUUUUUCGUGUCUUUUUUAAUGCACUUUUCGUUUAACAAGUCAACAUCAGUUUCUUUUGUUGUAAAAGGGUCAUUGGAAGGUGGCUUUCUUUUCGGAGAAAGUGUUUAUAGCCUUUGGCCUCUGCAAUCGGAAGAGACUGAGGUCUGCAGCGUAGACUCUUCGGGGUUAGAUACAUUUGUGCUAAGUUAUAGCUUUUUAUAGACAACUUGUUGACUAUAAUUAGUCUUGUAGCUUACUCGCUUAUGCUAUUUUACCUACGCUUAGGAUGUUGAGUCGUAGAGCACGCAG
rnacentral:rRNA from 1 species